AGCANCCCGCGNUNAUUCCAGCUCCCAAUANCNUAUNNUAANANUUNCNGCAGCUUAAAAANGCUCGNAANUUGANUNUCGGGGACCAUACACAUCGGUCGUGACCUCGCUACGGUACUGGCAUUGUUGGUUUCUCCCUUCUGCACGAACCAUGAUGUCAUUAAUUUGGUGUCUUGGGAAAUCAGGACUGUUGCUUUGAAAAAAUUAGAGUGUUUAAAGCAGGCUCACGCUUGAAUACAUUAGCAUGGAAUAAUGAAAUAGGACGUUUGAUUCUAUUUUGUUGGUUUCUAGGAUCGACGUAAUGAUUAAUAGGGAUAGUUGGGGGCAUUAGUAUUCAAUUGUCAGAGGUGAAAUUCUUGGAUUUAUUGAAGACUAACUCUCUGCGAAAGCAUUUGCCAAGGAUGUUUUCAUUAAUCAAGAACGAAAGUUAGGGGAUCGAAGACGAUCAGAUACCGUCGUAGUCUUAACCAUAAACUAUGCCGACUAGGGAUCGGGUGAUGUUAAUUUUUUAAUGACUCA
rnacentral:rRNA from 1 species